rnacentral:rRNA from 1 species
UACGUAGGUGGCAAGCGUUAUCCGGAAUUAUUGGGCGUAAAGCGCGCGCAGGCGGUUUCUUAAGUCUGAUGUGAAAGCCCACGGCUCAACCGUGGAGGGGCAUUGGAAACUGGGAAACUUGAGUGCAGAAGAGAAGAGUGGAAUUCCACGUGUAGCGGUGAAAUGCGUAGAGAUGUGGAGGAACACCGGUGGCGAAGGCGGCUCUUUGGUCUGUAACUGACGCUGAGGCGCGAAAGCGUGGGGAGCAAACAGG